rnacentral:lncRNA from 1 species
GGGUUUGGACGUGGGAGCUCACAGUGGAGUGCGGUCCUGGAAGAGUGGAUCCGAGUGGAUUCAAACAAAGAGCGAGCGCGUGAACGGGCGAGCGAUGCGGUUUUCAUACGAUUUGAAUGCCGACACGACAUGAGAGCUGGCGAGCGAUGUAAACACGAGAAUUGGGUGCGAGUGCACAUCUGAGAUGCAAAACGAAACAGAGCCAAAGAGAAUUUUAAUAGAAAAAAAAGAGUCCGUAGAGAAUAAGGAAGUCGGACAUAAUCCCACACCGC